UAGGGAAUCUUCCGCAAUGGACGCAAGUCUGACGGAGCAACGCCGCGUGAGUGAAGAAGGAUUUCGGUUCGUAAAACUCUGUUGUUAGAGAAGAACAGCGCAUAGAGUAACUGUUAUGCGUGUGACGGUAUCUAACCAGAAAGCCACGGCUAACUACGUGCCAGCAGCCGCGGUAGUACGUAGGUGGCAAGCGUUGUCCGGAUUUAUUGGGCGUAAAGCGAGCGCAGGCGGUCAAUUAAGUCUGAUGUGAAAGCCCCCGGCUCAACCGGGGAGGGUCAUUGGAAACUGGUUGAAUUGAGUGGAGAAGAGGAGAGGGAAAUUCCAUGGGUAGCGGUGAAAUGCGUAGAUAUAUGGAGGAACACCAGUGGCGAGGGCGACUCUCUGGUCUGUAACUGACGCUGAGGCUCGAAAGCGUGGGUAGCAAACAGG
rnacentral:rRNA from 1 species